UAAAUUCUAAAUUGUUAUUUCAGUUAUUUAGCUUUGUUAGAAAAUAUAAGGGUUUAGUGGGUGCUCGGUGGAAUAAUAUAAUCUAAGGGGUAAAAAACUUGGUAGCACCAAGUGCUUGGUGUUAUUGAUAGUAUUAUAGCUAUAAAAGUGGGCUGGAAUACUAUUAAUAGUAUUUGGGCUCUUUUGCUAUCGUAUUUUUAUUUUUUGGAUGAAAAUUGUACGGUUAUGAUGAUAGUGGUCCCUUAGAGUUUAGUAGUGGUUCCUCUAUAGGGUUGUUUGGGUGGUUGUUUGAAUAGUAUUAUCUAAAGGAUGGAAUUAAGAUCUGACAGUUAAAAAAUCGAUAGCAAAAGAACUUAAAUACUAUUAAUAGUAUUCCAACUCAACUCUCUCUCUCUCUCUUUAUAUAUAGAGAGAGAGAGAGAGAGAGAGUAGGUCUUGUGUGCUAUUAGGAGCAUAGAAGCCUUCGUGCUUCUAAACCGUUUUCGAUAAUAUAGUUCAUAAAUCGACGAUUAGAUCCAUCAUACCUGAUCUAGCGUAUUUGAACUAUUUAGAAAAUAAUUUUUGCAGAUUUUCGAUAUCAUUAAUCUAGUGAUCAAAAGAAUUCAAAAUCAAUGAUUUUUAAUGGUUGAUGUAUGCCGUUUGCAAGUUUAACCGUGCAGAAGUAUUCAAAUCAGAUAAAAUUUUGAUAGAAAAUUUUUUAACUAUCUACAACAAGAUCAAUAUUUUUGAUCGAACAUUUUAGUACUACAUCAUAAUUUUUUAUGAGAUUUUUAUUUUCAACCAUUGAUUUUGAGUCAUUUCGAUUAUCAAGUAAAUGAUAUAAAAAAAAUUAUAAAAUUUAUUUUCUAAAUAGUUCAAAUAUAUUAAAUCAAAUCUGACAGAAUCGAUCGUCAAUUCAAAAAAUCAACUCAGCACAGACA
rnacentral:lncRNA from 1 species